UUCAGUUACUUUUCAACAAACUGACGGAAACUGUCAAUUUUGGCUUGUAAGGCAGCUGGCAGUUUCUGACGCACUGAUGUCCGUGCUCUAAAUCAGGGUGGUUAGGAACAGCUCCGCUCCAACAGCAAAGUGCGAAGAACACCAGAGGUGCAUGCAGGGUCAAUCUGAGUGACUAAUAAGGGGUGGAGAUGUGAGCCUCAGCAGGUGCUGUAGCAGUUUCGAAAGAUAACACCAACCGAUAGACUCAACUAUCUAUGUUCUACGGCCAUGGAGAGAGAAGGAAGGAUGGAAGGAAGGAAGGAAAGAAGGAAGGAAUCACAACAGAAAUAUGGGAACAAAUAUUGAACAAAAUAAAAGAUUUUUUAACAGCA